AGACAGACUUCAGGAGAAGGACAGCAUCCUGUGGAUGAAGAGCACCUGCCAAAGGCCAGGAGCUAUGCUGGGCCCUCUCAUCUAAAUAAUUGGCUCAUUUAAUUGGCUGGCAGCAAAGGAGCUAGGCUUCAAAUCCCAGGUCUGUCUGAACUUCAAAUGCUGCUCUUUCUCCAGGGUACCAGAAGCCUCUAUCCCUGCUUCACCAUACAGCUCCACCCACCUCACGGCUACCGUAUUGGACCGGCACAGCAUGAGGCUGUACUGCCUUGCGAUGGAUGCCGUAACACUACAUUUUGGACAGCACGCAGAUGAGGAAGCAGGUGAUUCUCCAAACCCUCACGGUGACUAAGCCAGACUGUCGGGACUCCAGCUUGCUGCGCCUGGCUUUCCACCAGGCUUCAGAGUGGCGUGCUUGAGGAAGAGUCAUGAGUAAUAUUGAGGAUGAUUCAGCGUCUCUCGGUUGUUGCACUCCUGCACCACCUAAAGAGAAAAACGACAAGACAAGAACAUUUCUUUUCUGAUACCAGUGUCAUAAUAUGAUAUUGGAUAAUUACAGCGCAAUGUAAUCAUAUCUCAAGGGGGAAUAUAUAGCUCAAAACACAGAGCUGGGUGUGGGGACCAGGGCUUGAUUCCCCAGGAGUGUGGGGACCUGACCUAGGUUCUAAGACCUGCUCAGUCUCAGAAUCAAUCAGCUGAUUGGACUGUGGGCAAGCCCCCUUUGCUAACUGUUCUUAGCAUGGCCCUGAAGAUUCUGGGGUUGGCAACUGUAAAUGCCACGGGAGCCUAGCUUACCUGAGUCCUCUGGGGACUCAGCCUGUGGCGUGUCUGCCCCUGAGGCAGAGCCCAGAAGCCAGUGCUGGACAUCAGGCUCAGGGGACAGUCAAGGUGAGUACCAGCUCAUUUCCACCAGAGGUCAGCAUUGCUCAGUGGUCGGAAGCUCCGCAGACACCAGCUUGGCCCAGGAUAUACCUCCGGGAGGCAUCUCUAUGCUCCUUGUCUGGCUGAGACGAGAGUGUCCAGUGCUUAUUUCCAACUCCCUAACCAUGCCUAGAACCUGAGCGGUCACAAGGGUGGGAGAUGCUAUAGCACCUGCCUCAUGCCUUCUUGGCAAAGGGAGAUUGCGGUUGGAUACUCGUGGUACCUCUUGCAGCCCUGGGGCUGGUGUGCAACUCAUCAGCUGAGCCCUGUGGCAUCCUGAGGUGGCUCCCUUUCUGCAUUCAUACCAAACUGUUGACUGUACCACUGGCUGCUGUCAGUCUUGGGAAGGCAUGGCUGGCACCUAUCAUACCUCAAAAAACGAAGAUGCAAAGUAUCAUUAAAAAAGAACAACAACAAGGGCUGGCCCUGUGGCCGAGUGGUUAAGUUCGUGUGCUCUGCUGCAGGCGGCCCAGUGUUUCGUUGGUUCGAAUCCUGGGCGCAGACAUGGCAUGCUCAUCAAACCACGCUGAGGCAGCCUCCCACAUGCCACAACUAGAAGGACCCACAACGAAGAAUAUACAACUAUGUACUGGGGGGCUUUGGGGAAAAAAAGUAAAAAAAUUUUUUUUAAAAAAAAAAAAGAACAACAAAAUGCGACUGCACAAAUUGUUCAGGAUUAUGAACUGUAUACCAUUGUGUAUACCAUUGCAGACCCUGGAACCAGCCCUCCUAGAUUUGGAUCCCCCUUCCAAUACUUAGAAAUUGAGGGAUGUAGGUAAAUUUCUUACCAUCUUUGUGCCUCACUUUCUACAUCUGUAAACAGGGAAUAUUAUCAUUCCCAUUUAUCAUAAUCGACCCUCCCUAUCCCACAGAGAUACUGUGAGGAUUAAAUGAGAUAAUUGCAAUAGGCAAUGUUUAAUGAGCAUUUGCUCUGUGUCAGGCACAGACCUAAGACUUUUCUUGUAGUAUCUCAUAAUUCUGACAACUCCUGUAUAUUAUUACCUCCAUUUUACAGUUUGUGAAACCAAGGCUUGGAGGGCAUACUAGCAGAGCCAGAAUUUUAAAUGAGUGGUUUUGCCCUCAGAUGUUGCUCUUUAAUCAUUGUCCUUCAUUGUUGCCUGUUGACGUGGAG
rnacentral:lncRNA from 1 species